AAUAUUUCACAAUGGGGGAAACCCUGAUGCAGCGACGCCGCGUGAGCGAAGAAGGCCUUCGGGUCGUAAAGCUCUGUCCUAAGGGAAGAAAUGGACGGUACAGACGGAGGAAGCCCCGGCCAACUAGUAGCCAGCAGCCGCGGUAAUACGUAGGGGGCGAGCGUUAUCCGGAAUUAUUGGGCGUAAAGGGUGCGUAGGCGGCCUUUUAAGUCAGAUGUGAAAGGCUACGGCUUAACCGUAGUUAGAAUUUGAAACUAAAAGGCUGGAGUGCAGGAGAGGAGAGUGGAAUUCCUAGUGUAGCGGUGAAAUGCGUAGAUAUUAGGAGGAACACCAGUGGCGAAGGCGACUCUCUGGACUGCAACUGACGCUGAGGCACGAAAGCGUGGGGAGCGAAC
rnacentral:rRNA from 1 species